rnacentral:tRNA from 1 species
GGGGGCGUGGCGGAAUUGGCAGCCGCAGGGGACUUAAAAUCCCUCGACUUCGGUCUUGCGGGUUCGAGUCCCGCCGCCCCUACCA